rnacentral:rRNA from 1 species
AGCGAACGCUGGCGGCAGGCUUAACACAUGCAAGUCGAACGGUCCUUCGGGAUAGUGGCGGACGGGUGAGUAACACGUGGGAACGUACCCUUAGGUUCGGAACAACACAGGGAAACUUGUGCUAAUACCGGACAAGCCCUUCGGGGGAAAGAUUUAUCGCCUUUGGAGCGGCCCGCGUCUGAUUAGCUUGUUGGUGUGGUAAUGGCUCACCAAGGCUACGAUCAGUAGCUGGUCUGAGAGGAUGGCCAGCCACACUGGGACUGAGACACGGCCCAGACUCCUACGGGAGGCAGCAGUGGGGAAUCUUGCGCAAUGGGCGAAAGCCUGACGCAGCCAUGCCGCGUGGAUGAUGAAGGUCUUAGGAUUGUAAAAUCCUUUCACCGGGGACGAUAAUGACGGUACCCGGAGAAGAAGCCCCGGCUAACUUCGUGCCAGCAGCCGCCGCGG